GAUAAACGCUGGCGGCAUGCUUAAUACAUGCAAGUUGAACGAAGCGUAAAGCUAAGUAGCGGACGGGUGAGUAACGCGUAAGAAUCUACCUUUAGGAAAAGAAUAACAAUUGGAAACGAUUGCUAAUACUUUAUAAGCUGAGAAGUGAAAGGUUUUCCGCCUAAAAAUGAGCUUGCGUCUGAUUAGUUUGUUGGUAGAGUAAAAGCCUACCAAGACUACAAUCAGUAACUGGUCUGAGAGGACGACCAGUCACACUGGGACUGAGACACGGCCCAG
rnacentral:rRNA from 1 species